rnacentral:ribozyme from 1 species
GCCCAAGAAGAGUUUGGCCUUCGCGUGGCCUUGGGCGUCAGUAUUCGAGGACGGAUAUAUCCAAAUCUACAUCCAAACCAACCUCGAAGAAGCUAAUAAACU